GACGAACGCUGACGGCGUGCUUAACACAUGCAAGUCGAACGAGUGGCGGACGGGUGAGUAAUGUCUGGGAAACUGCCCGAUGGAGGGGGAUAACUACUGGAAACGGUAGCUGAUACCGCAUACCAUCGGAUGUGCCCAGAUGGGAUUAGCUAGUAGGUGGGGUAACGGCUCACCUAGGCGACGAUCCCUAGCUGGUCUGAGAGGAUGACCAGCAACACUGGAACUGAGCCACGGUCCAGACUCCUACGGGAGUCAGCAGUGGGGAAUAUUGCACAAUGGGCGCAAGCCUGAUGCGGCCAUGCCGCGUGUAUGAAGAAGGCCUUCGAGUUGUAAAGUACUUUCAGCGGGGAGGCGUUACCCGCAGAAGAAGCACCGGCUAACUCCGUGCCAGCAGCCGCGGUAAUAC
rnacentral:rRNA from 1 species